rnacentral:rRNA from 1 species
UGAGGAAUUUUGCGCAAUGGGAGCAAUCCUGACGCAGCAACGCCGCGUGGGUGAUGAAGGCCUUCGGGUCGUAAAGCCCUGUCGGGCGGGAAGAACGUCCCUUCGGGGAAUGACGGUACCGCCAGAGGAAGCACCGGCUAACUCCGUGCCAGCAGCCGCGGUAAUACGGAGGGUGCAAGCGUUAUUCGGAAUUACUGGGCGUAAAGGGCGUGCAGGCGGGAGAGCAAGUCUGAUGUGAAAGCCCGGGGCUUAACCCCGGAAGGGCAUUGGAAACUGCUUUUCUGGAGUUCUGAGGAGGAAGAGAGAAUUCCCGGUGUAGAGGUGAGAUUCGUAGAGAUCGGGAGGAACAUCAGUGGCGAAGGCGCCCUUCUGGACAGCAACUGACGCUGGGACGCGAAAGCGUGGGGAGCAAACA